rnacentral:rRNA from 1 species
GACAGAGGGUGCAAACGUUAUUCGGAAUUACUGGGCGUAAAGGGCUCGUAGGUGGCCAACUAAGUCAGACGUGAAAUCCCCAGGCUCAACUUGGGAACUGCGUCUGAUACUGGCAGGCUUGAAUCCGGGAGAGGGAUGCGGAAUUCCAGGUGUAGCGGUGAAAUGCGUAGAUAUCUGGAGGAACACCGGUGGCGAAGGCGGCAUCCUGGACCGGCAUUGACGCUGAGGCGCGAAAGCCAGGGGAGCAAACGGG